rnacentral:rRNA from 1 species
GUGGGGAAUCUUGCGCAAUGGGGGAAACCCUGACGCAGCAACGCCGCGUGAGUGAUGAAGGCCUUCGGGUCGUAAAGCUCUGUCGGAGGGAAAGACGGAUCUAUGGAAUAACACUCCAUAGGUCUGACGGUACCCUCAAAGGAAGCACCGGCUAACUCUGUGCCAGCAGCCGCGGUAAUACAGAGGGUGCAAGCGUUGUUCGGAAUUAUUGGGCGUAAAGCGCACGUAGGCGGUUUAGAAAGUCUGAUGUGAAAGCCCUGGGCUCAACCCAGGAAGUGCAUUGGAUACUACUUAACUUGAAUCUCGGAGAGGGUGGUGGAAUUCCCGGUGGAGAGGUGAAAUUCGUAGAUAUCGGGAGGAACACCAGUGGCGAAGGCGGCCACCUGGACGAAGAUUGACGCUGAGGUGCGAAAGCGCGGGUAGCAAACAGGAUUAGAAACCCCAGUAGUCC